rnacentral:rRNA from 1 species
UACGGAGGGUGCGAGCGUUAUUCGGAAUUACUGGGCGUAAAGGGCGUGUAGGCGGCCUUGUAAGUCAGAUGUGAAAGCCCACGGCUUAACCGUGGAACUGCAUUUGAAACUGCUUGGCUAGAGUACGGGAGAGGGUGGCGGAAUUCCCGGUGUAGGAGUGAAAUCCGUAGAUAUCGGGAGGAACACCAGUGGCGAAGGCGGCCGCCUGGACUGUAACUGACGCUGAGGCGCGAAAGCGAGGGGAGCAAACAGGAUUAGAUACCCCUGUAGUCC